UGGAGGUGUGUUACUCUGUGAGGGAAGUACACUACUUACCAACGAGUUGUCAACAGGAACCAUGACAACAUGGUCGCUGUCAGCAGGAACCAUGACAACACAUAGCUGUGUCGCUGUGCCAGGGACGUACUUACUCAUCAACGAGCUGUGAACAGGAACCGUGACAACAGGGAGCUUUGUCACUGCGUGAGAGAGGUACAUCUACUUACCACGAGCUGUCAACAGGAACCGUGACAACAGGGAGCUUUGUCACUGCGUGAGAGAGGUAUAUCUACUUACCACGAGCUGUCAACAGGAACCGUGACAACAGGGAGCUUUGUCACUGCGUGAGAGAGGUAUAUCUACUUACCACGAGCUGUCAACAGGAACCAUGACAACAUGGAGCUGUCAACAGGAACCAGUAUGACAAAAUGGAGCUUAAUCGCUGUGUGAGUGACGUACAUCCACUCAUCAACAAGCUUGCAACAGGAAUCAUGACAACAUGGCGCUAGGUUGCUGUGCGAGGGACAUACACCUACCCAUCAUGAGCUGUUAACGGGAACUAUGACAAUAUGGAGCUGUCAACAGGAACUAUGACAACAUGGAGUUGUGCCGCUUUAUAAGGGACAUGUAUUCAUCAACAAGCUGUCACUGGGAACUAUGACAACAUGGAGUGUCGCUGUGUGAGGGACAUACAUCUACUCAUCAACUAGCUGUCAACGGGAACCCUGACAAAAGGGAGUUGUUUCACUGUGUGAGGGACGUACAUUUACUUACUAAUGAGCUGUCAACGGGAACUAUGGCAACGUGGAGCUGUGCCGCUCUAUGAGGGCUGACAUCUACUCAUCAACGAGCUGUCAGUGGAACCAUGACAACAGGGAUCUAGCUGUUUCACUUGUGAGGGACGUACAUUUACUAACUAACGGGCUGUCAACGGGAACUAUGGCAACAUGGAGCUGUGCCGCUCUAUGAGUGACGUACAUCUACUCAUCAACGAGCUGUCAUUGGGAACCAUGACAACAUGGAGGUGUGCCGCUCUGAGGGACGUACAUCUACUCAUCAGAGAGCUGUCAAUGGGAACCAUGACAACAUUGAGGUGUGUCUCUGUGCGAGGGAUGUACAUCUACUAACUAACGGGCUGUCAACGGGAACUAUGGCAACAUGGAGCUGUGCCGCUCUAUGAGGGAUGUACAUCUACUCAUCAAGGAGCUGUCAAUAGGGAACCAUGACAACAUGGAGUUGUGCCGCUCUGUGAGUGACGUACAUCUACUCAUCAACGAGCUGUCAUUGGGAACCAUGAUAACAUGGAGUUGUGCCGCUCUGUGAGUGACGUACAUCUACUCAUCAACGAGCUGUCAGAGGGAGCCAUGACAACAUGGAGGUGUGCCGCUCUGAGGGACGUACAUCUACUCAUCAGAGAGCUGUCAAUGGGAACCAUGACAACAUUGAGGUGUGUCUCUGUGCGAGGGAUGUACAUCUACUAAUUAACAAGCUGGCAACAUAGAGCUAAGUCGCUCCGCGAGACUGUGACAACAAGGAGAUGUGCCGCUCUGUGAGGGACAAACAUCCACUCACCAAUGAGUUGUCAACAGGAACCAUGACAACAUAUGGAGUGCGCUGUGUGCGAGAGAUAAACAUCUACUCAUCAACGAGCUGUCAACAGGAAUCAUAUGACAACAUGAAGUUGUAUCGCUGUGUGCGGGACGUACAUCUACUCAUCAACGAGCUGUCAACAGGAACCAUGACAACAUGGAGUUGUAUCGCUGUGUGAGGGACAGACACCACUCACCAAUGAGCUGUCAACAGGAACCAUGACAACAUUGAGCUGUGUGACGGAUGUACAUCCACUCACCAAUGAGCUGUCAACAGGAACCAUGACAACAUUGAGCUGUGUGAGGGACGUAUACUUCUACUCAUCAUCCCAACGAGCUGUCAACAGGAACCAUGACAACAUGGAGUUGUAUCGCUGUGUGAGGGACGUACAUCCACUAACCAAUGAGCUGUCAACAGGAACCAUGACAACAUUGAGCUGUGUGAGGGACAUACAUCCACUCACCAAUGAGCUGUCAACAGGAACCAUGACAACAUUGAGUUGUGUGAGGGACGUACUUCUACUCAUCGACGAGCUGUCAGCAGGAACCAUGACAACAUGGAGUUGUAUCGCUGUGUGAGGGACGUAUAUCCACUCACCAAUGAGCUGUCGACAGGAACCAUGACAACAUUGAGCUGUGUGAGGGACAUGACAACAUAUGGAGUGCGCUGUGUGCGAGGGAUAAACAUCUACUCAUCAACGAGCUGUCAACAGGAAUCAUAUGACAACAUGAAGUUGUAUCGCUGUGUGCGGGACGUACAUCUACUCAUCAACGAGCUGUCAACAGGAACCAUGACAACAUGGAGUUGUAUCGCUGUGUGAGGGACGUACACCACUCACCAAUGAGCUGUCAACAGGAACCAUGACAACAUUGAGUUAUGUGAGGGACAUACUUCUACUCAUCAACGAGCUGUCAACAGGAACCAUGACAACAUUGAGCUGUGUGAGGGACGUAUAGCUACUCAUUAUCAAGCUGUCAUUGGAAGGGUUGACAUCUACUCAUCAACAGCUUGGUCGAGGCAAAGACAAGAUUGUCAAGAGAUCGUUCUGAUGCAGUGUUCCUCCAGCAACAUGGACAUUGAAGUCAUCAAUCGGGGUGUGGCUUGGCUAGAGGCAAUAACAUCAAGUACUUACUACCAAGCUGCAGUAUGCAACUUCAAGGUUAUCAUGUUGACUUGCUACGAUGUAUGCUCUGCUGUCAACAUGGACCCCCAAAGACGCUGAUGAUGGAGUCUUGUCUGUGGUCAGGAUAGGUCGCCUUGGUACUUUCAUGUCUGAGGUCAGGAGAGUGACGUCUUUGAACUUGUAUCUACUCACUGCAGUUAGAUGAACAGAAAUGACUGCUAUAGAUAACAACUGACUGGUGAAGCUGUGUGUUUCUUCAAAGAUGUUCACGGAAAAGAUUAAAAUCAACAUUAGCCAACAUUUAAAUAUCUGUUAGAACUUGCCAUCAAACAACAAGUUUGAAAUGGACAUUUCUGAAACCUUAUUGAUUCACCUGAGGAUGUAAACAACAAUGAACAGUUUAUUUUGAGUCGUCUUCAUUCCGGACAAAUCUUCAUAUGGACAAUGAUGUAGCACUUGAUCUUCUAGAAUUCAUCUGCAGCAAAAUUGAACUCCAGCACAAGAUGAUCAUCGUUAGGGACAAUAUUACUGUUUUAUACAAGGUUGAUGCCCUGAAGCUGAAAUAUUUAACUACGAAUGAAAUCGUAGUUUGCUCAGAAUGUUGUCAACAUACUUGUAAUGAGGUAUUUCGUUGGAAGUAUGUUGACCAAAUACAUGUAUAUUACUUGUUCAUGUAUUUCUAUAAACGAUUGCAUUCUUGUAAUGAGGUACUUCAUUACAAGUGUGCAAGAAUAUCAUAUUUGCAAUGAAGUACCUCAUUGCAAGUAUGAUUAAGUUUCAUGCUGGUAUAUGAAGUACUUCAUUACAAGCAUAAAACAUUCAGUAUUAAGCAGGGGCUUAUAAUUAAACAUAUUUUGUUAACUUGUAUGGAAGUAAAUGCAGUGGCAGUGGCUAAUUUUAUAGCAUGCAAUAGUAAUUUAAGUUUAGCAUGUAUUUGGGGUGUUAAUACUAACUAAAAGGUUUUAAUUGACAUGUGCCUGGUUUUGAUUUUAGUUAAUUAGUGUAAUAAAUAUUUGUUUGGCACACUUGGAUAAGUAACUCUUGUUAUUGUUUUAAAGUAUCUGUUGUGGGGUGGGAGAUGACAACCUUCACGUGGUCCAUCCUGUUCUAGACUAAUGUCAUCAAACCAAUCUAUGUAGCUACACUCUAUUUUUGUAUAGUGAUGUGUGUAAUAACUAAGUAAAAAUUAAGUUUAAAAGUUUAAUUUGUAUUGUUGGGUAGUUGAACAGUAUACAUGUAUCGCUUUAAGUGUGAAAUAAAUAAUAAAUGUUGGUGGUAUGGAUAAACAAAACUGUGCUGUGGAUUGUACAUUUUGUUAUGUAGAUUAACCCAUUGUUAUGAAAGUUAACCCAUUUUAUAAUGUGGUACACUGUAAAUAUUGCACAGUAUCAUAAUGGUUUUCAGUUGUACAUUAUACAUGAUUGGCUAACAGUGUGAA